rnacentral:snRNA from 1 species
GGCUGUGAGAGUGAUCUGGCUAUGCCACUUGUCACCCCCUAGUGAUUUCCAGGCUUGAUUUGGCUAAACUGGCUGGCUAGGUGGGUGUCUCCAUGUUCCCUCAAUGCUCCAUGUGUGUCUCUCCAGUGUGCUCAAUAGUAAUGAGGACAAGCACCGCUGAUAGAGGAGGACCUUUUCCUCAGUCAAGGGGAUUUACAAGUAGCUGCACUCCCAACCUAAACCUCCAUAUAAGCUCUCAAGGUCUGCCCCCCCCCAAAAAAAAAAAACAGAGAAAAAGAAGCCAAUCACAAAAAAAUUAAACUCAGGAUAGUUCUAUUUCUAGAAAGUUCUGGAAAAAAACAAGC